CUACGGGAUGCUGCAGUGGGGAAUAUUGCACAAUGGGGGAAACCCUGAUGCAGCAACGCCGCGUGGAGGAUGACGCAUUUCGGUGUGUAAACUCCUUUUAUAUAGGAAGAUAAUGACGGUACUAUAUGAAUAAGCACCGGCUAACUCCGUGCCAGCAGCCGCGGUAAUACGGAGGGUGCAAGCGUUACUCGGAAUCACUGGGCGUAAAGCGCGCGCAGGCGGCCCCUUAAGUUGGAUGUGAAAGCCUACGGCUUAACCGUAGAACUGCAUCCAAAACUGAGGGGCUAGAGUCUGGGAGGGAAAGAUGGAAUUAGUUGUGUAGGGGUAAAAUCCGUAGAGAUAACUAGGAAUACCAAAAGCGAAGGCGAUCUUCUGGAACAGUACUGACGCUGAGGCGCGAAAGCGUGGGGAGCAAACAGGAUUAGAUACCCCGGUAGUC
rnacentral:rRNA from 1 species